rnacentral:rRNA from 1 species
AUACGGAGGUUGCAAGCGUUGUUCGGAAUUACUGGGCGUAAAGGGCGCGCAGGCGGCUUGGGAAGUCUUGGGUGAAAGCCCCCAGCUCAACUGGGGAAUGGCCUGAGAAACCACUAGGCUGGAGUGCUGGAGAGGGAAGCGGAAUUCCCGGUGGAGCGGUGAAAUGCGUAGAUAUCGGGAGGAACACCAGAGGCGAAGGCGGCUUCCUGGACAGACACUGACGCUGAGGCGCGAAAGCUAGGGGAGCAAACGGGAUUAGAAACCCGGGUAGUCC